rnacentral:lncRNA from 1 species
UGAUCUUCUUUUAUCUCUCAAUGAGUAUUUAUAUUAUAUAGUAAUAUCAAAAAAAAAUUAUUAAAAAUUAUUAAUUCACACCGCAACGACCACAAUCUAUAAUGGCUAAAAUUGUAAAAUCUUUAACGCGACCACAAACGCAAUUGAGACCGUUAUUUAAAAUCUUGAUUUUCUCUUCCAACAAUUGGACCUUGUCAUAGAGUGGUACUCAUUGUGAGUCUCUUUAAAAAUGUCCUCUCUCAAAGCCUUUGGUAACUCCUUAAGAUGCUUGGCAAAUUAGAACAACUAAACGGUCUUAUCAAGUCCUUGGUAACUUGGCGAUGUAUCCUCAUAAAAUUCAUUAUUAGGGUGAAAUAUGUUGUUAAAAAUGCAUUUAUUCUGUUUAAUAGCAAAAUGAUAUUUUAUUAGAACAACCCACUAACACAAAGUGUGCAUAGAAGGUCAAGAUACAUCAUCGAGAUGAAAUGGAAUCGCAAAAAUAUUUCUUGCAAUAAUAUUAUAUAGGAAUGUAAUUUUAUAUUUUCCAUUUUAUCUUGCAAUAAUAUUUCUUUGUUUUGAAAAAUCAGUUGUUUACUUUCUUUUUGAAUGGUCCAAAUGGAGACCCAAAAAUAUUGUACUCACCUUUUCAUUUUGAAACACCACACACAUGCCAAACCAGUUUGCUAUUUUGAAUCACACUUUUGAGAAGAAUGAGCAAUAAAAACAAAUGACUCAUUGUUUUGAGUACUUUGUUACAAUCAAUAUACAUUUAAGAGUCUAUAGAUAACCUCUCACAUCAUAGAAGAAUAUCUUUGUAGGAAUUCUUUUUUAAAUUAGUUGACAAACAAAUGUACACACCUUAAUGGUAAAUAUGCACCAUAUUUUUAAGUUGAAGUUCUCUUCACCCACCUCAACAUCUUUCAUAAAAAAUCUAAAUAUCGAUUUCAUGUAUACAUUUCUGACGAGACUUUUACGUCUAUGUCACUUUAUCUUUCUCACUUACACUAAAUUGAAUUCGCUCUAACUCUCUCAAUAAUUUUCUAUAUUUGCAACCUUUGUUUUUUAUCCAAGAAUAAGACAAACAAUCUAUUAAACUUAACUUUCAAAAUCAACCUAAUCAUGCACAUAUCCAACCAAAAUGAGAUUACCUCUUUAUUUAAAGUUUUUCAUGGACUCUACACAUCACUUUUAUCUAAAGUAUUUAGAUUAUAGUACUUUACCCAUAUAUACUAGCUUUCUUAUUUUUAACUCCGCAAUUAUUUACCUAAUAGAACUAAUUCUAAGAAAGAACGUACUUUUACUUAGCCUAAUUUUAAUCUUUACAUAUUCCCGGUUUUUGCGG